rnacentral:rRNA from 1 species
CGCCCCGCCCGCCGCGGGGGGGGGGGGAUUAUAUNNNUUAUCCUUUAUUUGAUAUUACCUUACUACUUGGAUAACCGUGGUAAUUCUACAGCUAAUACAUGCUAAAAAUCCCGACUUCGGAAGGGAUGUAUUUAUUACAUUAAAAACCAAUGCCCUCCGGGGCUCACUGGUGAUUCAUGAUAACUUCUCGAAUCGCACGGCCUUGCGCCGGCGAUGGUUCAUUCAAAUUUCUUCCCUAUCAACUUUCGAUGUUUGGGUAUUGGCCAAACAUGGUUGCAACGGGUAACGGAGGGUUAGGGCUCGACCCCGGAGAAGGAGCCUGAGAAACGGCUACUACAUCCAAGGAAGGCAGCAGGCGCGCAAAUUACCCAAUCCCGACACGGGGAGGUAGUGACAAUAAAUACUGAUACAGGGCUCUUUUGGGUCUUGUAAUUGGAAUGAGUACAAUUUAAAUCCCUUAACGAGGAACAAUUGGAGGGCAAGUCUGGUGCCAGCAGCCGCGGUAAUUCCAGCUCCAAUAGCGUAUAUUAAAGUUGUUGUGGUUAAAAAGCUCGUAUUUGAACCU